GGGACCCGUCUUGAAACACGGACCAAGGAGUCUAGCAUGUGCGCGAGUCAUUGGGACUCUAACGAAACCUAAAGGCGUAAUGAAAGUGAAGGUUCGCCUAGCGCGAACCGAGGGAAGAUGGACGGUCGUACGUGGCCGUCCCGCACUCCCUGGGCGUCUCGUUCUCAUUGCGAGAAGAGGCGCACCAAGAGCGUACACGCUGGGACCCGAAAGAUGGUGAACUAUGCCUGGUCAGGACGAAGUCAGGGGAAACCCUGAUGGAGGUCCGUAGCGAUUCUGACGUGCAAAUCGAUCGUCGGAACUGGGUAUAGGGGCGAAAGACUAAUCGAACCAUCUAGUAGCUGGUUCCCUCCGAAGUUUCCCUCAGGAUAGCUGGCGCUCGCUUUUCGCGAGUCUCAUUCGGUAAAGCGAAUGAUUAGAGGCAUUGGGGUCGAAACGGCCUCAACCUAUUCUCAAACUUUAAAUGGGUGAGAUCUCCGGCUUGCUUGAACUGUGAAGCCGCGAGAUAUCGGAUCAGAGUGCCAAGUGGGCCACUUUUGGUAAGCAGAACUGGCGCUGUGGGAUGAACCAAACGCAAAGUUAAAGCGCCUAAAUCGACGCUUAUGGGAUACCAUGAAAGGCGUUGGUAACUUAAGACAGCAGGACGGUGGCCAUGGAAGUCGGAAUCCGCUAAGGAGUGUGUAAA
rnacentral:rRNA from 1 species